CCCAAGAAGUUAUUUUUCGAAGGUGAUAUUUUCAAGGUGACUCCAAAGAUCACCAUUGACCUGGGUAUUGAGGGGGAGCUCGAACCGCCUAUCGAAGUGUCUGAAGAAUGGGUUAAGAAGGUAGGUCCGGAUGUUGUCGAGGUUAUUAUUGCAGAGCCUAUCUCAGUGGUGCCUCUAGCUGUGAUCGAAGUCUCCAGUAUCGAAGUCAUAUCUACGGAGUCCCCUGUUGUUGAGGC
rnacentral:lncRNA from 1 species